AUCCAAACCUGAUUGAAGCGGUAGCUCCCGAUUUUUUCUAAUCGGGACUACAAGCAAAAAGCAGGGCGGACA
rnacentral:ncRNA from 2 species